CACAAGCGGUGGAGCAUGUGGUUUAAUUCGAUGCAACGCGAAGAACCUUACCAGGUCUUGACAUCCCGAUGCUAUUUCUAGAGAUAGAAAGUUACUUCGGUACAUCGGUGACAGGUGGUGCAUGGUUGUCGUCAGCUCGUGUCGUGAGAUGUUGGGUUAAGUCCCGCAACGAGCGCAACCCCUAUUGUUAGUUGCCAUCAUUCAGUUGGGCACUCUAGCGAGACUGCCGGUAAUAAACCGGAGGAAGGUGGGAUGACGUCAAAUCAUCAUGCCCCUUAUGACCUGGGCUACACACGUGCUACAAUGGUUGGUACAACGAGUUGCGAGUCGGUGACGGCGAGCUAAUCUCUUAAAGCCAAUCUCAGUUCGGAUUGUAGGCUGCAACUCGCCUACAUGAAGAUGGAGUUGCUAGUAACCGCAGGUCAGCAAUACUGCGGUGAAUACGUUCCCGGGUCUU
rnacentral:rRNA from 1 species